GUAGGUGGCAAGCGUUGUCCGGAAUUAUUGGGCGUAAAGCGCGCGCAGGCGGUUCUUUAAGUCUGAUGUGAAAGCCCACGGCUCAACCGUGGAGGGUCAUUGGAAACUGGAGAACUUGAGUACAGAAGAGGAAAGCGGAAUUCCACGUGUAGCGGUGAAAUGCGUAGAGAUGUGGAGGAACACCAGUGGCGAAGGCGGCUUUCUGGCCUGUAACUGACGCUGAGGCGCGAAAGCGUGGGGAGCAAACAGGGAUUAGAUACCCUGGUAGUCCACGCCGUAAACGAUGAGUGCUAAGUGUUAGGGGGUUUCCCGCCCCUUAGUGCUGCAGCUAACGCAUUAAGCACUCCGCCUGGGGAGUACGGCCGCAAGGCUG
rnacentral:rRNA from 1 species